UAGGGAAUCUUCCGCAAUGGACGCAAGUCUGACGGAGCAACGCCGCGUGAGUGAAGAAGGAUUUCGGUUCGUAAAACUCUGUUGUUAGAGAAGAACAGCGCAUAGAGUAACUGUUAUGCGUGUGACGGUAUCUAACCAGAAAGCCACGGCUAACUACGUUCCAGCAGCCGCGGUAAUACGUAGGUCCCGAGCGUUGUCCGGAUUUAUUGGGCGUAAAGCGAGCGCAGGCGGUUAGAAAAGUCUGAAGUGAAAGGCAGUGGCUCAACCAUUGUAGGCUUUGGAAACUGUUUAACUUGAGUGCAGAAGGGGAGAGUGGAAUUCCAUGUGUAGCGGUGAAAUGCGUAGAUAUAGGGAGGAACACCGGUGGCGAAAGCGGCUCUCUGGUCUGUAACUGACGCUGAGGCUCGAAAGCGUGGGGAGCGAACAGG
rnacentral:rRNA from 1 species